rnacentral:misc_RNA from 1 species
UAAUAAGUGUUUUAUGGCACUUUUUAAAUCCAUAUCCACCUUGUGCGCAAUGUCAGUCGAUCUUCUUCAUGGAGAUCGACCAAACAUCAACCUUUAUCUUUUAACUCUUUGUCUGGAAAAUAUUAUGAAUAAACAAUUCAAAAUA